rnacentral:rRNA from 1 species
AGUCGAGCGGCAGCGACUUAACUGAACCUUCGGGGAACGUUAAGGGCGGCGAGCGGCGGACGGGUGAGUAAUGCCUGGGAAUAUGCCCUGAUGUGGGGGAUAACUAUUGGAAACGAUAGCCAAUACCGCAUAAUCUCUUUGGAGCAAAGAGGGGGACCUUCGGGCCUCUCGCGUCAGGAUUAGCCCAGGUGGGAUUAGCUUGUUGGUGAGGUAAUGGCUCACCAAGGCAACGAUCCCUAGCUGGUCUGAGAGGAUGAUCAGCCACACUGGAACUGAGACACGGUCCAGACUCCUACGGGAGGCAGCAGUGGGGAAUAUUGCACAAUGGGGGAAACCCUGAUGCAGCCAUGCCGCGUGUGUGAAGAA